UGCUGAUUAGUUAAAAGAAAAUGGCUGACAAUCUACUUGAAGGAUUACCACCGCCUUCUCAUCACCAACAACUAUAAGACAGAGAAAAACACCAAGGGAAUCAAAGCAAUGAUCAAAUUUCUUUUUCUUUGAAGACGAGUAGCAGCAACAAUAACAAGGAAGCUUCUCCAACUCCGGUUCUUAAAAGUGCUCUCAAGAGACCUAAGCCUACUGAAUCUAACCCUGAAGCUGCUGUACAAGAAAAGCGCUUGAGAUUUAAGAUUGCAUCACAUAUCAAGAACCCCACCAAGUUUUCUAAGGCUUCAAAGCUUGCCAUACAGUUUAUACAGUACUGAUUUUUCUGUGCGAGGCGAUUAUCAUUCGCUUUCUCAGCAGCACAAGAUGCAGCUGAGUGCCUAAACAAGAAC